rnacentral:rRNA from 1 species
AGUGAGAAUGCCGGAAUGAGUAGCGAGAAUUAUGUGAGAAUCAUAAUGGCCGAAAAUCUAAGGUUUCCUGAGGAAGGUUCGUCCGCUCAGGGUAAGCCGGGGGCUAAGGCGAGGCGGAGACGCGUAGCCGAUGCACAUACGGUUGAAAUUCCGUAGCCACCGAAAGAUUUAAGUACAGGGACGCUUUAGAAGUGAUGUAGCCGGGCGAUGGUUGACCCGGUCGUAAGGGAUCGAAAAUGAGUAGAGAAGUCAUCAUGGAAAGAGACAAGAAAAGCUGUAUGAAUAUCUUAGGUGCCCGUACCGCAAACCGACACAGGUAGAUAGGAAGAAGAUUCUAAGGCCAACGGGAGAAGGGUUGUUAAGGAACUCGGCAAGUUGACCCCGUAACUUAGGGAUAAGGGGUGCUCAAGUGAUUGAGCCGCAGAGAAUAGGCCCAGGCGACUGUUUAGCAAAAACACAGGUCUCUGCUAAAUCGAAAGAUGACGUAUAGGGGCUGACACCUGCCCGGUGCCGGAAGGUUAAGAGGAGAUGUGAGAGCAUUGAAUUGAAGCCCCGGUAAACGGCGGCCGUAACUAUAACGGUCCUAAGGUAGCGAAAUUCCUUGUCAGGUAAGUUCUGACCCGCACGAAAGGUGUAACGAUCUGGGCACUGUCUCAACAACCCGCCCGGCGAAAUUGUAGUACCGGUGAAGAUGCCGGUUACCCGCGACUAGACGGAAAGACCCCAUGGAGCUUUACUGUAGCCUAAUAUUGGAUUUCGGUAUUUCACGUACAGGAUAGGUGGGAGACUGGGAAGCACAGGCGUCAGCUUGUGUGGAGUCGACCUUGGGAUACCACUCUUGGAGUGCUGGAAUUCUAACCUGCGGCUUUGAAGCAAGUCGGGGGACAUUGUUAGGUGGGCAGUUUGACUGGGGCGGUCGCCUCCUAAAGAGUAACGGAGGCGCUCAAAGGUUCGCUCUGCAUGGAUGGAAACCAUGCGUCAGAGUGUAAACGCAAAAGCGAGCCUAACUGCGAGAAUGACGGUUCGAGCAGUAACGAAAGUUGGAGUUAGUGAUCCGGCGGUAUGUGAAUGGAAAUGCCGUCGCUCAACGGAUAAAAGCUACCCUGGGGAUAACAGGCUGAUCUCCCCCAAGAGUCCACAUCGACGGGGAGGUUUGGCACCUCGAUGUCGGCUCAUCGCAUCCUGGGGCUGAAUUCGGUCCCAAGGGUUUGGCUGUUCGCCAAUUAAAGCGGUACGCGAGCUGGGUUCAGAACGUCGUGAGACAGUUCGGUCCCUAUCUGUCGUGGGCGUAGGAUAUUUGCAAGGAGCUGUCCCUAGUACGAGAGGACCGGGAUGGACGCACCUCUGGUGCACCAGUUGUCACGCCAGUGGCACAGCUGGGCAGCUAUGUGCGGAACGGAUAAACGCUGAAGGCAUCUAAGCGUGAAGCUGCCCUUAAGAUAAGAUAUCCCUUCUGUUUACAGAGUAAGACCCCUUGAAGACUACAAGGUUGAUAGGCUCAAAGUGUAAGCACGGUGACGUGUUUAGCUAGCGAGUACUAAUCGGUCGAGGGCUUAACCU